rnacentral:rRNA from 1 species
UACGAAGGGGGCUAGCGUUGUUCGGAAUUACUGGGCGUAAAGCGCACGCAGGCGGCUCGAUAAAUUAGAAGUGAAAGCCCCGGGCUUAACCUGGGAAUUGCUUUUAAGACUGUCGGGCUAGAAUCCAGAAGAGGGUAGUGGAAUUCCGAGUGUAGAGGUGAAAUUCGUAGAUAUUCGGAAGAACACCAGUGGCGAAGGCGACUACCUGGUCUGGCAUUGACGCUCAUGUGCGAAAGCUAGGGGAGCAAACAGG